rnacentral:rRNA from 1 species
ACAGGUGCUGCAUGGUUGUCGUCAGCUCGUGUCGUGAGAUGUUGGUUAAGUCCCGCAACGAGCGCAACCCUACCGUGUGUUACCAUCAUUAAGUUGGGGACUCGCACGGAACUGCCGGUGAUAAACCGGAGGAAGGUGGGGAUGACGUCAAAUCCUCAUGGCCUUUAUGUCCGGGGCUACACACGUGCUACAAUGGUCGGUACAGAAGGAAACGAAGUCGUGAGAUGGAGCAGAUACCGAGAAAGCCGAUCUCAGUUCGGAUUGGAGUCUGCAACUCGACUCCAUGAAGUCGGAAUCGCUAGUAAUCGCGGAUCAGCAUGCCGCGGUGAAUACCGGUUCCCGGGCCUU